UUACUUACCUAGCAGGGGAGAUUCCAUGAUCACGAAGGUGGUUUUCCCAGGGCGAGGCUCAUCCAUUGCACUGCGGGUGUGCUGACCCCUGUGAUUUCCCCAAAUGCGGAAACUUGACUGCAUAAUUCGUGGUACUGGGGGACUGCGUUCGCGCUCUCCCCUG